rnacentral:rRNA from 1 species
GAUGAACGCUGGCGGCGUGCCUAAUACAUGCAAGUCGAGCGAUCGGACGAGAAGCUUGCUUCUCUGAUGUUAGCGGCGGACGGGUGAGUAACACGUGGAUAACCUACCUAUAAGACUGGGAUAACUUCGGGAAACCGUAGCUAAUACCGGAUAAUAUUUUGAACCGCAUGGUUCAAAAGUGAAAGACGGUCUUGCUGUCACUUAUAGAUGGAUCCGCGCUGCAUUAGCUAGUUGGUAAGGUAACGGCUUACCAAGGCAACGAUGCAUAGCCGACCUGAGAGGGUGAUCGGCCACACUGGAACUGAGACACGGUCCAGACUCCUACGGGAGGCAGCAGUAGGGAAUCUUCCGCAAUGGGCGAAAGCCUGACGGAGCAACGCCGCGUGAGUGAUGAAGGUCUUCGGAUCGUAAAACUCUGUUAUUAGGGAAGAACAUAUGUGUAAGUAACUGUGCACAUCUUGACGGUACCUAAUCAGAAAGCCACGGCUAACUACGUG